CAUUUUGGGAAAUGAAGAUGCUAUGAACGCUAAUGGAGAAAACGCUAACGCUCGCGCGACCUCUUUCAAACCAAAGAAAAACUGACGAGUUCCAGACUGCUCUAAUCAGCGAAUUACAUCUGAGUUCUGUGUGAUACAAGUGUCUGACAGAAUUGAUGUCAAGGAGGAUUCGGCCUGAUUCAAUGAGGGAUUGAGGACCAAUUUUUUUCAACUUCAGCCAACUGUUGGAGCAUCACCCAAAGCAGAUAAGGUCGUGGAGGAAAAGACGUUAGUUUGACCAAUAAGCUACAUUGUAGCUUAUGACACAAUUGAAGUGGGCGUCAACUGUUCCUCCGGCUUUUGGCACAUUUAAAUGGAGGCCAGUAUCCGGACGAGUCCAGGUUACCUGCUGAUAUCGACAAAGAGAAGCACAGGAUAAAUUGCCACUCAGUGACGGUAUGAAUGUGGGUGCCAAUGGUCGUCUGUCUCUUUGUGUACCCUGUGAUUAAUCAUUUCAGCGUGCUGCCCGUCUUCCAUUGCAAGUGUUGGUGGCUCGGUGGUAGAGUUUUCGCACGCUGCGCGGGAACCCCGAGACUGAUGCCCGGGCACGCCGAUGCAUCUUGGGGUAGCCUUUGCAGCUAGCCUCGCAUCGGGGCAACAGUUCCGCUACGACAACGCGAGCAGACCAGGAUAUACGGUGUUGGAAAUGUCCCACACUACAACAAAUCAUUAUUUUAUCCACACUGGUUUGAGUGCAAUAUUGUUGUGGUUGGUUCGUUGUUUAAAAUGUGUAAAAGAAAUAAUGUUUGUUUUGCAUGUGGGAUGAGAAUUCAGUAAAACGGCAUGUGAGGGACUAACUUGUCCCCCCCCUCCACAGUACUUAAGUUACUGAAUAUGUAUAUAAAAAUGGAUCUUAAGCUACUAUACCGAGUGUGGUUUGAUUGUCAAUAUCAGUUUGCAUAUGACUGAUGAAAAAGGUAAAAUUUCAGAUUUGAAGAAGUCCAUUGGAACUGUUUUGAAAUAAUAAAAAAAACCAUCCCACCUUGUU